rnacentral:misc_RNA from 1 species
AAGUCGUAACAAGGUUCCCGUAGGUGAACCUGCGGGAGGAUCAUUACGGAAUUUAACAAUUUCGUUAAGAAACAGGCACCGGUGCAUACGUGUUUUGGGCUACCAUUGGUGGGAUGCCCGGGCCUGAUGAGGAAUUGAACGGUGAAAAAAUUGGUAGCAAACUUGUGCGUUUCGAGAAUCGCAAAUAUCUUGUUGGGGUUGUUAAGGCCACCACUGGCUCUCUGUUUGGCUAACGCCAGGCAGUAGAGUUGGUAUCGGUCGAGAGCUUUGCCUCGAGCAUAGCGAACAUUAAAGAGCUGCGGUUCUAUGCUUGGCUUCGGCUAUGCAUAGCCGCCCCAACGUUAAAACGUUUUUCAUACUGUUUGAAAUGAAACUGAUAAGAUAAAUUGAAAUACAACUACGAGUGGUGGAUCACUCGGCUCACGG